rnacentral:rRNA from 1 species
CUAACACAUGCAAGUCGAACGGGGUUAUCGGGUAGCUUGCUACCCGAGAUACCUAGUGGCGCACGGGUGAGUAACACGUGGGCAAUCUGCCCGGAAGACUGGGAUAACAGCCCGAAAGGGCUGCUAAUACCGGAUACUUUCACGAAGUCGCAUGACUUUGUGAGGAAAGUUUUUCGCUUCCGGAUGAGCCCGCGUCCCAUUAGCUAGUUGGUGAGGUAACGGCUCACCAAGGCAACGAUGGGUAGCUGGUCUGAGAGGACGAUCAGCCACACUGGAACUGAGACACGGUCCAGACUCCUACGGGAGGCAGCAGUGGGGAAUCUUGCGCAAUGGGCGAAAGCCUGACGCAGCAACGCCGCGUGAACGAUGAAGGCCUUCGGGUCGUAAAGUUCUGUCAGGGGGGAAGAAUAAAUGACGGUACCCCCGGAGGAAGCCUCGGCUAACUACGUGCCAGCAGCCGCGGUAUACGUAGGGGGCGAGCGUUGUCCGGAUUACUGGGCGUAAAGGCGUGUAGGCGGCGAUCAGUCAGGUUUGAAUUUCAGGCUCACCCU